rnacentral:tRNA from 1 species
GCAGAUAUAGCUUAGUUAAAAGCAUUGGGCUGUGACUCCAAAGACGGGGGUUAAAGUCCCCUUGUCUGCA